rnacentral:rRNA from 1 species
UACGAAGGGGGCUAGCGUUGCUCGGAAUGACUGGGCGUAAAGGGCGCGUAGGCGGUUUGUACAGUCAGAUGUGAAAUUCCCGGGCUCAACCUGGGGGCUGCAUUUGAUACGUAUGGACUUGAGUGGGGAAGAGGGUCGUGGAAUUCCCAGUGUAGAGGUGGAAUUCGUAGAUAUUGGGAAGAACACCGGUGGCGAAGGCGGCGACCUGGUCCUUGACUGACGCUGAGGCGCGAAAGCGUGGGGAGCAAACAGG